rnacentral:rRNA from 1 species
CAACUUUUAACAAUGGAUCUCUUGGUUCUCGCAUCGAUGAAGAACGUAGCAAAGUGCGAUAACUAGUGUGAAUUGCAUAUUCAGUGAAUCAUCGAGUCUUUGAACGCAUCUUGCACUCAAUGGUAUUCCAUUGAGUACGCCUGUUUCAGUAUCAAA